CUACGGGAGGCAGCAGUGGGGAAUAUUGGACAAUGGGGGAAACCCUGAUCCAGCAAUGCCGCGUGUGUGAAGAAGGCCUGCGGGUUGUAAAGCACUUUCGGUUGGGAGGACUGCUUCUAGCACUAAUAUUGUUGGAAGUUGACGUUACCUUCAGAAGAAGCACCGGCUAACUCCGUGGCCAGUAGCCGCGGUAAUACGGAGGGUGCAAGCGUUAAUCGGAAUUACUGGGCGUAAAGCGCGCGUAGGCGGCUAGAUCAGUCGGGUGUGAAAGCCCCGGGCUUAACCUGGGAACUGCAUCCGAUACUGUCUAGCUUGAGUACAGGAGAGGAGAGUGGAAUUCCACAUGUAGCGGUGAUAUGCGUAGAUAUGUGGAGGAACACCAAUGGCGAAGGCAGCUCUCUGGCCUGAUACUGACGCCGAGGUGCGAAAGCGUGGGGAGCAAACAGGAUUAGAUACCCGGGUAGUC
rnacentral:rRNA from 1 species